rnacentral:lncRNA from 1 species
AUCAAAUAAAAUUUUCUUAAUACCAUUUCAACAAACGGUUCAUUUGCGUAAUGAUUUAAAUCAUAAAUCUGUAUUGGUGGCAGUAUAAUGGUGAGUGAGUUUGAUUUGUGAGUGUUUGAUUGAUUACAGUUAUGUGUGUAUAUUUGUGCAUAUAUUAUGUGUGUUGUGUGUACGGAGACAAUUUAGUUCAUACUCAUUGCGAAUUACCACUCCUACAUAUUAUGACGAAAUCUUCGAACCUGUAGAUAAAAAAAUAAUGAAUAGUAAAUAAGCGGG